rnacentral:sRNA from 11 species
AGCGGGGUGGAGGAAUGGUCAACUCAUCAGGCUCAUGAUCUGAAGACUACAGGUUCGAAUCCUGUCCCCGCCUAAUCACUUGAGAUCUUUUUGGGGUGGUAAAAGUUGUGUUGCCAGCUAGCGAAUGUUCGGAUGGUGAACAGUUCAGUAUCAAGUCUGUAACGAAGCUAGUACGGUUCAAUGCUUGUAGAAUAAUAGUGAAAAUUCCGGGUAACUGGAUCGCCCCGGCGGGGUUGCUCUGACUCAGACGGCCCUGAGAAGCGCAGCACUCCGGUAACGGAUCCUUUUGCAGGUGAAGGGGCAGAGCGUUCCCCGGUCUCUCUUGGCAAUAGUUUACCUUUCUAAUGUUCUGCCUUGAUGAGUGGGAGAGGUAGCCGAAUUAGGAUAUCACUACUGGCACGGACUGCGCAGGAAGUUGCGAUCCUAAAAUGAACUAGAAAAAUCACCGCCCAUUACCAAAUUAGACUCCUAGUUUCAUUAACGUCGGCUUAUCUGUCAGUCGUGUUGGGUCUGCCGCUCAGUUGAAAACUAUGAAACAAGUCUGCGGUAGUUCAAAACUGGAAUUGGCACAAUUACGUUUAUUAGAAGUGGACAAUCGAGUGGUUGUACCAGCCAAAAGUCAUCUACGUAUCGCCGGACCGCCCCCGCCGACGAAUAAUAGGUACCACCACUCCAGGCAGAGUUAGUGAGCCGUGUAAUAGGCGACCAUUUCGCGCGGUUCGGGGGGCACUUGAGUCAGCCGCCGGCGCCCGACAGCGUCUUGACCCCUAU